GUGGGGAAUAUUGGACAAUGGGCGGAAGCCUGAUCCAGCAACGCCGCGUGAGGGAUGACGGCCUUCGGGUUGUAAACCUCUUUCACCGAUGACGAAGCGCGAGUGACGGUAGUCGGAGAAGAAGCACCGGCCAACUACGUGCCAGCAGCCGCGGUAAUACGUAGGGUGCGAGCGUUGUCCGGAAUUAUUGGGCGUAAAGGGCUCGUAGGCGGUUUGUCGCGUCGGGAGUGAAAACCCAGGGCUUAACCCUGGGCUGGCUUCCGAUACGGGCAGACUAGAGGUAUGCAGGGGAGAACGGAAUUCCUGGUGUAGCGGUGAAAUGCGCAGAUAUCAGGAGGAACACCGGUGGCGAAGGCGGUUCUCUGGGCAUUACCUGACGCUGAGGAGCGAAAGUGUGGGGAGCGAACAGGAUUAGAAACCCUGGUAGUCC
rnacentral:rRNA from 1 species